rnacentral:rRNA from 1 species
CACAAGCAGCGAGGCAUGUGGUUUAAUUCGAGGCUAUACGAAGAACCUUACCUGGGCUUGACAUGUAUGUGAAAGAGUUUAAGAAACUAACUCCCUCUUAUGUAGCAAUACAUAAGACACUUACACAGGUGGUGCAUGGUUGUCGUCAGCUCGUGCCGUGAGGUGUAAGGUUAAGUCCUUGAACGAGCGCAACCCUCUCUGUUAUUUGCCCUAAGUCCUUAGGGGCUUAGCACUAUAACAGGACCGCUACCGACAAGGUAGAGGAAGGUGAGGAUGACGUCAAAUCAUCACGCCCCUUAUGUCCAGGGCUACACACAUGCGACAAUGGUUGGUACAGAGGGAAGCAAUGGAGUAAUCCGGAGCAAAUCCCCAAAACCAGCCCCAGUACUGAUCGAGGGUUGAAACCCACCCUCGUGAAGAUGGAGUUGCUAGUAAACGCAGGUCAGCCAUACUGCGUUCGAAUACGUUCCCGGGCCUU